AGAGUUUGAUCCUGGCUCAGGAUGAACGCUAGCGGAGGGCUUAACACAUGCAAGUCGAGGGGCAGCACGGACUUCGGUCUGGUGGCGACCGGCGAAUGGGUGCGUAACGCGUAUGCAACUUACCUUAUGCUGGGGGAUAGCUUGAGGAAACUCAAAUUAAUACCCCAUGUUUUGUUCUUAUCGCAUGAUAAAAAUAAUAAAGCGAUUUAGCGGCAUAAGAUAGGCAUGCGUCUGAUUAGCUAGAUGGUAGAGUAAAAGCCUACCAUGGCUACGACCAGUAGGGGGUCUGAGAGGAUGAACCCCCACACCGGUACUGAGACACGGACCGGACCCCUACGGGAGGCAGCAGUGAGGAAUAUUGGGCAAUGGGCGCAAGCUUGACCCAGCCACUCCGCGUGCAGGAAGACGGCCUUAUGGGUUGUAAACUGCUUUUUUACAAGAAGAAAAAACUUUACGUGUAAAGGACUGACGGUAUUGUAAGAAUAAGCAUCGGCUAACUCCGUGCCAGCAGCCGCGGUAAUACGGAGGAUGCAAGCGUUAUCCGGAUUUAUUGGGUUUAAAGGGUACGUAGGCGGAAAAAUAAGUCAGUGGUGAAAAGCUUGAGCUCAACUGAAGUCGGGCCAUUGAUACUGUUUUUCUUGAGUGUGGUAGAAGUAAGAGGAAUGUGUAGUGUAGCGGUGAAAUGCAUAGAUAUUACACAGAACACCAAUAGCGUAGGCAUCUUACUAUACCAUUACUGACGCUGAGGUACGAAAGCGUGGGGAGCGAACAGGAUUAGAUACCCUGGUAGUCCACGCCGUAAACGAUGCUCACUGGCUGUUUGCAAAUUUGAUUGUAAGUGGCAAAGCGAAAGUGUUAAGUGAGCCACCUGGGGAGUACGCCCGCAAGGGUGAAACUUAAAGGAAUUGACGGGGGCCCGCGCAAGCGGUGGAACAUGUGGUUUAAUUCGAUGUACGCGAGGAACCUUACCCGGGUUUAAAUGGAAAGUGCAUGAGGUGGAAACAUCUCUUUCUUCGGACUCUUUCCAAGGUGAUGCAUGGUUGUCGUCAGCUCGUGCCGUAAGGUGUCGGGUUAAGUCCCUUAACGAGCGCAACCCCUGCUGCUAGUUGCCAGCGAGUAAUGUCGGGGACUCUAGUAGGACUGCCGCUGUGAGGUGGAGGAAGGUGGGGAUGACGUCAAAUCAGCACGUCCCUUACGUCCGGGGCUACACACGUGUUACAAUGGCCAAUACAGAGGGAAGCUACAUUGCGAAAUGACGCUGAUCCCUAAAGUUGGUCUCAGUUCGGAUUGGAGUCUGCAACUCGACUCCAUGAAGCUGGAAUCGCUAGUAAUCGCAUAUCAGCCAUGAUGCGGUGAAUACGUUCCCGGGCCUUGUACACACCGCCCGUCAAGCCAUGGGAGUCGGUGGUACCUAAAGUCUGUAGCCGAAAGGAGCGGCCUAGGGUAAAAUCGGUGACUGGGGCUAAGUCGUAACAAGGUA
rnacentral:rRNA from 1 species